GCCUGGAUAGCUCAGUCGGUAGAGCUUAGGUUAGGCUUUUAACCUAACGGUCCAGGGUUCGGGCUCCUGUCCGGGCA
rnacentral:tRNA from 1 species